rnacentral:rRNA from 1 species
GUAGGGUGCGAGCGUUAAUCGGAAUUACUGGGCGUAAAGCGUGCGCAGGCGGUUCGUUAAGUCUGAUGUGAAAGCCCCGGGCUCAACCUGGGAAUGGCAUUGGAAACUGGCGAGCUGGAGUAUGGCAGAGGGGGGUGGAAUUCCACGUGUAGCAGUGAAAUGCGUAGAGAUGUGGAGGAACACCGAUGGCGAAGGCAGCCCCCUGGGCCAAUACUGACGCUCAGGCACGAAAGCGUGGGGAGCAAACAGGAUUAGAUACCCUGGUAGUCCACGCCCUAAACGAUGAUCACUAGGUGUUGGGGGAGCGAUUCCUUGGUACCGUAGCUAACGCGUGAAGUGAUCCGCCUGGGGAGUACGGUCGCAAGAUUA